CCACGCCCCCUUAGCACGUGACUAUAGCGCGCGCGCGCCACCUUCCCUGUCUCCGGAGCCGGGAGCGCGCGAGUUGAGCAGCGCCCGUUCUGGAGCUCUGGACACUGAGUGUUCGGAGGGGCGGGUCAGCGAGUGAUGUCAUGAUUGGACAAACAGCUGGUCUCAACGCAGGUUAUUGCAGCAGCUGUUAGGUUCCGGACCUUCCACUGCUGAAGAUGGUGUCUAGUAGGAGGAACACGGAACCUGAUGGAGCAGGUGGAACAGCCCAGGAUACUCAAUCUGCAGUUCCCAGAAGUGCAUUGUUAUCAUCAGGAAAGGAUGGCUGGCUUCACCCUGGUAACAACAUCAGGAUGGUGCAGAAAAAUGGAUGAACCUUUUCACCAUGGUAUAUGCCAAUCAAAGCAGAGAAUACCUGAGCAAGGAGUGUGUGAUUAGCACCUCAACUGUUAACAUGAUGGUCCUAAAUGCAUAAUACACCUAAUCCAGAAAAGAAAAAAACUUGUACUGAUCACACCUUUGUAUAGAGGAGGGUUACAAAAGUAUGGGGAAUUUUGCCAGGAUACUUGGUGAAUCUUACGGCAAUAUACUUUUUGUUCUUUUGUGUAUUUUAAAUACUGGGAAUGGCUGAAUCCUAGUGGACAGCUAUUGUUGGACCAUUGUAGCUUUUUCUCUGAAUACACAAAAUUGUUUAUGAUUAUAUGCAUAAGUGCCGAUUGUUAAAUUGCAUGUCCAUUGUACCACAUGAAUUUUUAUGCUCAUAAUAUAUUCUGAAACAAAAUAAUAUAUCUGGCUACAGUAUAACAAAUAAUUUAUAGAAGUUAUCCGAUUAAUUUAUCCCUUUUUCUUUUAUGAAAUAGCCAUGUACAGAAUUCAAAUUCACCACAUUUGUUAUUUUUGUCUCUAUCACCCAACUGAAAACAAGGUUGCAAAUAUUUGAUCCGGGAUAUUCAAAAUUAGAGCUCUGCUUCUUAGUAAUGUUUGUUCAGAUAAGUCAUGUGGUAUUUUUCCUGACUCGAGGAGUGCAUGGGGACUUCUAGCAAGACUAGUCAGAUGUGCAAAUUAAAGAUGCCAUUGCCCUGAAUAUUCUGUCAUGAGACACUGAAAUCACUUUCCACAAGCAUUUAUGCUAUUAUGCAGGUAUAAUGCCAUUCUUGCUUAGACUGAGAAGGCUUUUCUUUUGUUUUCAAUAACCUACGUACAUGAAAUCUCUGUAAUAAUUACAAUAGAAAAAAGUUUUAAAAGAAAACUUCAGUCAUUCAAAUGUUCAUGUAAGCAUAGCUAAAACAAAAUCAUUUUCAAAUUUGAAUGGGUGUUUGUAGAUUUAUUUAUUGCAGAGUUUGCUCAGCUAUGCAUUUGGU